AUACAGGGAAACCCUGUCUUGAAAAACCAAAUAAAAAACAAAACAAAACAAAAAGGAUAAUCUUUUAUGGAAGGUAAUACAGAGGGAAGUACCUGCGCAUCAGGGUCAUCUCCACCUUCAUUAAAAGCAUUGUUUGUAUGUUUCCCUAAAGACUUUUUCCUAUUGAUUGUUUUAAUCACACAAUGUCUACCCAUGCAACGAGAUUCUUUUUUAUUUUAACAGCCACCAAUGUUAAAAUUUUAUUUAAAAGAUCAAGUUCAUGCAUUUUAUGUUUAACAUACAAAAUUUUGUCCUCUGUUCCCCCCCCCCCCAGCCCUGUUAAAUCAGAGAAAAUGUUCUAAAAAAAGAAGAGAUGUUAAAUAAGAGCACACCUAUCUGGACAUGUAUUUCUUUCUCUCUCCCUACAAUCUCCUUUUUUAUUUUUAUUUUUUGCCUUUUAGCAAUAUGUUCUUCUGAAUCUCACAUAAAGCACAAGAUCAUCUUUAUUAGUAUUUCCAUACAUUUUGCAACAUACCACACACACUAUUAACAUUAAUGAAGCUAACAUACAAAGCAAAGUGUGCAUUCCAUCAAUAUAGUUUAAAAUAGGGAUCCAGGUUCGGCAGCAUGGAAACGAGAUUACAGUGAGUGCAGUGCCAGCUUGGGCCUGGGCCACAUUGUGCAUCCCAGUCAGCCUUCAGAUACCAAGUGAGAAAACAGUCCAAAACAGUCCUGGGGAGUAAUAUUGCUAAUUAGGAGACCCUUUAUAAACAAAAAUAAAAUGGUUGCAUUUAAAAAAAAAAAAUAAAAUGAGUAUAAGUGCAAAUGCCACAGUGCUUAAGGGGAGGGCAGAGGACAGACAGUAGGUGAAAGUCAGUGUUUUGCUUCCAUUAUGUAGGUGCCAGAGACUGAUCUUAGGCCUUCUGGGUUUGGCGCCAAAUGCCUUUAUCCAUGGAGCCAGCUCACUGGCCUGUUGUUUAGAAGAUUGUGUAGAGAGGUGCUUUCCACUCUGUUUCUCAGCCACCAUGAGUAAGUAAACAGUCAUUUUGGCACAUACUGCUCCACAGUUCCAACCCAGUGGAGCCAAUGAGUGGAGCCACACAAAUCUUCCCUCCCUGUAAGCUGUUGUGUAUCUAUUACACUUUGUCAGCAAAUAAAAACUAAUUAUCGCAGACUGUUUGUUUUUUUCAGUUCACAGCAACACUAGGAGCAGUCCCAUUUCCUGCUGUCCCCACACCUACAGUCUCCUCUGUUGCUAACAUGUGCUACAUACGCUACAGUUUGCAUGUGUUCUGCAUUCUGAGUAAGUUUAUAAAUGUAAAGACGUGUACUCAUUCUCUCUGACAGCAUCCCACAGAACAGACUGCCCGGACUGCCCAUCUGCCUCCCGUCUUGCCCAUGUCACCACUGGCUUGGGCAGCUUCUCAUCCUCUUCUUUUGCAUAGUUGGAGCCUUUUUGUGUUGGCUCCUUUCACUUAGCUGUGUGUGGCACUGGCUCACCCAUGUACUGUUCGUGGCUUACUAGCCCUGAUGUGUACGCACCAAGGAUUGUUCUGCAUUUCCUGCUAAAGGCCAUCUUUGAGGUUUUUAAAGUUUUAGCAGCUGUAUGUGAAGCAGCAUCCAAGAUAUAUGUUCAAGCUUAGUGUGGACAUGCUCAUUGAGUAAAUACACAAUGUGAGACUGACGGGCCCCACAGAAGGGGACAUUUUAAUUUUUGAGAAACUAGUUCUCUCAGUGCCAUCUUUUGCAUUCCUGUCCCCAGGUCCCAUAACUUCAGUGUUUCUCCAGUGUUUAUUUGGUCUUGAGAUUUUACUGUUCUAGUCAGCACUGCUAUUAUAAUUCCCUAGUGCCACUGUAUUGCUGCCUCCUCACAGGCUCAUGGCCAUCUGUGUAUCUUCCAGCUAACAUUUCAAUCUGGGUAUUUAUUUUUUUUUACUAUUGAAUUUUCACAGUUCUUUUAUAUUUUAAACAAAUCUUUACCAGGUGAAUGUUCUGCACACAUGUUCUCCCAGUCUUCUUAGUCUACUGUUUUUUGUUUGUUUGUUUGUUUGUUUUUUAAGAUUUCUUUAUUGUUUUGGUUUUCUAUUGUUUUGGUUUUCCGAGAUGGUUUCUCUGUGUAGCUCUGGCUGUCCUGGAACUCAGUUUGUAGACCAGGCUGGCCUCGAACUCAGAAAUCCGCCUGCCUCUGCUUCCCAAGUGCUGGGAUUAAAGGCGCGCGCCACCACCGCUCGGCUAGAUUUCUUUAUUGUAUGUAUGUGAGUACACUGUCGUUCUCUUCAGAUACACCAGAAGAUCAGAUCCCAUUACAGAUAGUUGUGAACCACCAUGUGGUUUGCUGGGAAUUGAACUCAGAACCUCUGGAAGAGCAGUCAGUGCUAAUUGCUGAGCCAUCUCUCCAGCCUGCUUUUGUUUUUCUCAUGUGAAAGAUUAUUGUAACCCUCUGUCUCUUGUCUCUGGGGUAUCGAACUUUCUAUGUCACAGCUCCUUUCCUUGUCUCUACAGCCUUCUGAAUUGCAACAAUGCUGAACUCAGUAACUUUUUGUUACUCCAUUUUGUGGAAUUUCAAUUAAACUUCAACAUCACUUUUCUUGGCUGUCCUUUAAUCUUGAUGAGUUUCUUCUUUAUUACCCAUUUUGUGACAUGUCAGACAGAUGUGUAUUUUUGUGAAGUAGCUUAUACACUUUGGUGUAUACCUGAAUAACAUGCAGUAGUUAGUGAUCAUUAUAAUGACCAUUAGUUUCUGUGUAGGAAUUUGCUGAUUGAAGAGCUAGCUGCAAAAUCUGUAUUUCAUAGUUAACUAUGCUUACUCAUAGUUAAGAUACUGUGUUGACUGAUACCCUAGCCAGGAAACUAGUGUUGUUUAAAGCUUCCAUACAUCUUGAUAUGCACAACUACAUAUAUUGUGAACUAUUUCCCUGCAAUUAUAAAGUGUAAAGUUUUGAAAAAAUAAAAGAUUGGAAACUAAGUGCCUGCAGAUAAAGACAAAACUGCAACACCCCUUGAGUUGCUAUACACAGCAAGCAGAGUACUACAAAGUUACAGUCCUAUUGGUGAGAAGUAUGUGGAUCCUCUAGCCAGCUAAUGGAGUUCUCAUCUGAUGAUGGGUCCUGAUUCAUCUAGAGUUUUGUCUGUGGCCUCUUUAGUAUCCAGGCAGAAAUGGCAGGGAUAGCUUGGACUUUGUUCCGUAAUGACACCAGUUUGGGGUAGAUAUCCAACAAGCCAGGCUUUAAAACCAAAAGUGUGGUGCUGCAGAUAUCCCAGUAGAAGUCUGCCCAGGUUACCUGCUUAAAGGAAAACAAAGACUUGGCUUUUGAAUAUGUU
rnacentral:lncRNA from 1 species